GAUGAACGCUGGCGGCGUGCCUAAUACAUGCAAGUCGAGCGAACAGACGAGGAGCUUGCUCCUCUGACGUUAGCGGCAGACGGGUGAGUAACACGUGGAUAACCUACCUAUAAGACUGGGAUAACUUCGGGAAACCGGAGCUCAUACCGGAUAAGAUAUUGAACCGCAUGGUUCAAUAGUGAAAGACGGUUUUGCUGUCACUUAUAGAUGGAUCCGCGCCGCAUUAGCUAGUUGGUAAGGUAACGGCUUACCAAGGCAACGAUGCGUAGCCGACCUGAGAGGGUGAUAGGCCACACUGGAACUGAGACACGGUCAAGACUACUACGGGAGGCAGCAGUAGGGAAUCUUCCGCAAUGGGCGAAAGCCUGACGGAGCAACGCCGCGUGAGUGAUGAAGGUCUUCGGAUCGUAAAAAUCUGUUAUUAGGGAAGAACAAAUGUGUAAGUAACUAUGCACGUCUUGACGGUACCUAAUCAGAAAGCCACGGCUAACUACGUG
rnacentral:rRNA from 1 species